UACGUAGGGGGCUAGCGUUGUCCGGAAUCAUUGGGCGUAAAGAGCGCGUAGGCGGCCAGGCAAGUCCGGUGUGAAAGUCACAGGCUCAACCUGUGAAUGCCGCUGGAAACUGUCUGGCUAGAGUCCGGAAGGGGCGAGUGGAAUUCCUGGUGUAGCGGUGAAAUGCGCAGAUAUCAGGAGGAACACCUAUGGCGAAGGCAGCUCGCUGGGACGGUACUGACGCUGAGGCGCGAAAGCUAGGGGAGCAAACAGG
rnacentral:rRNA from 1 species